rnacentral:rRNA from 1 species
UACGUAGGGGGCUAGCGUUGUCCGGAAUCAUUGGGCGUAAAGCGCGCGUAGGCGGCCCGGUAAGUCCGCUGUGAAAGUCAAAGGCUCAACCUUUGAAUGUCAGCGGAUACUGCCAGGCUAGAGUCCGGAAGAGGCGAGUGGAACUCCUGGUGUAGCGGUGGAAUGCGCAGAUAUCAGGAAGAACACCAACGGCGAAGGCAGCUCGCCGGGACGGAACUGACGCUGAGGCGCGAAAGCGUGGGGAGCGAACAGG